GCCCUACCGCGUUGAGUGGCGGAGUCGGGAUCCAGGUGGCCCGGCGGCCGGCUCAGUCCACCGCCCCGCCCCCGGCCUCGCGCCCCACCCCUUGGAUGAGAAAACUGAGACUCUGAGAGGGGACGUGACUGAUCCAAGGCCUGGCCUUUCCAGCUCCGGAGCCCACCACAAGAAGCCCCCAGCCCCACAGGAUGUGAAUGCAUUGGGCCCCAGCCAGGAAGUGGAGACCCAUGAAGGCAGGAAUAGCAGCCCUCUCCCAGCCAGCAGCAGCAGUUUCCCUUCCCGUUUCCUUCCCUGCCUGUGUUGGCCGUUCCCCCAUAGCAGCUCUAAUUUGAGAUGCCAGAGCCUGACCCGGAAUGGGGGCCCAACGCAGUGUCCCCUUCUCGGACAGCACAGUGGUCCCUGCAGUCCAUGUGCCGUCUGUCUCUGUGCCUCAGUUCUCCCCUGUACCGUGACCUCCCAUCAGGGCCGGCAUACGGGGCAUCAGGAGAAUGCGUGCAGUUGUCACCUGGAAACCUCAAAAUUCUUGGGGCCCAGUCAUGGCCACUACACAGCGGCCACCCCUGUCCCCAAACACUGAAGGGCAAACCCAGAGCUGGAUCAC